rnacentral:rRNA from 1 species
UACGAAGGGGGCUAGCGUUGCUCGGAAUCACUGGGCGUAAAGCGCACGUAGGCGGAUCUUUAAGUCAGGGGUGAAAUCCCAAGGCUCAACCUUGGAACUGCCUUUGAUACUGGGGAUCUCGAGUCCGGAAGAGGUGAGUGGAACUGCGAGUGUAGAGGUGAAAUUCGUAGAUAUUAGGAAGAACACCAGUGGCGAAGGCGGCCAACUGGCCCGAUACUGACGCUCAUGUGCGAAAGCGUGGGGAGCAAACAGG